AUUGAACGCUGGCGGCAGGCCUAACACAUGCCAGUCGAGCGGACGAAGGGGGCUUUUUCCUGGAUUAAGUGGCGGACGGGUGGGUAAUGCCUAGGAAUCUGCCUGGUAGAUGGGAAUAAGGUCCGGAAACGGGCGCUAAUCUCGCAUCCGUUCAGAGGGUGAAAGUGGGGGGUCUUCGGAGCACACGGGAUUUGAUGAGCCUAGGUGGGGUUAGCUAGUUGGGGGGGUAAGGGGGUACCGAGGCGACGAACCGAAACUGGUCUGAGAGGCUGACCUGGCACACUGGAACUGAGACACGGUCCAGACUCCUACGGGAGGCAGCAGUGGGGAAUAUUGGGCAAUGGGCGAAAGCCUGAUCGAGCCACGCCGCGUGAGUGAAGAAGGUCUUCGGAUUGUAAAGCACUGUAAGUUGGGAGGAAGAGAAGUGUGUUAAUACCUGGCUGUCUUGACGGUACCAACAGAGUAAGCACCGGCUAACUUCGUG
rnacentral:rRNA from 1 species